UACGGGGGGAGCAAGCGUUGUUCGGAUUUACUGGGCGUAAAGGGCGCGUAGGCGGCCAGCACAAGUCAGUUGUGAAAUCUCCGGGCUUAACUCGGAAAGGUCAACUGAUACUGUGCGGCUAGAGUGCAGAAGGGGCAACUGGAAUUCUCGGUGUAGCGGUGAAAUGCGUAGAUAUCAGGAGGAACACCGAUGGCGAAGGCAGGUCUCUGGGCCAUAACUGACGCUGAGAAGCGAAAGCAUGGGGAGCGAACAGG
rnacentral:rRNA from 1 species